UAGACUAUAAGUUAAUAAGACUAGGAGUUUUCAGCCCUCCAAGUAAAGGAUAGCCUUUUGGUCUAG
rnacentral:tRNA from 1 species